UUUCUGUCAUGGUGGAUUUUAAUAACACAAAAGUCAGGGUAGGAGAUUGUUAUUAAACAGAUUUUUUUUUCUUUUAAGUUCACUUCGCCAUUAUGUCCAGUCAACCCGUGCCUGGUAUUUCUAAACGUUAUAGACGUCACAGUAACCUAACUACCUCUAGCACUAGGGGAAAGUACAACCAUGCCUGGUGGUGACUCGAUCCAACUUUUCCAGAUAUUUUAUUUCAGUGAUAAGCAGAAAAAGGGCAUUCCAGGAAUUUUCAGGAUGAAGGUCGAGAUAACAGAGACUGAUUUCAAACCACAGCACUGA
rnacentral:lncRNA from 1 species